UACGAAGGGGGCUAGCGUUGCUCGGAAUCACUGGGCGUAAAGCGCACGUAGGCGGAUUGUUAAGUCAGGGGUGAAAUCCUGGAGCUCAACUCCAGAACUGCCUUCGAUACUGGCGAGCUCGAGUUCGGGAGAGGUGAGUGGAACUGCGAGUGUAGAGGUGAAAUUCGUAGAUAUUCGCAAGAACACCAGUGGCGAAGGCGGCUCACUGGCCCGAUACUGACGCUGAGGCACGAAAGCGUGGGGAGCAAACAGG
rnacentral:rRNA from 1 species